GUGCUGUGGCAUUCAAAGAUGCCAGUAAAGAUCAAAGCCAGGUUGAGCCAGCAAUUUACAAAGCCCAAAUCCAUGAGAAAACAUGGUUUACAUUUUCACUUGCUUUCAUGCAGAAAAUAAAUUCCAUGGAAAGGAAAGUCUUAAUAACUAGCCUGUAGUAAAGAAUAUGGCAUAACUGGCAUAAUUCCUUCUGUCUGAGAAGCAUGAAGAUUGCAUCACUGAAGACUGUGCCUGUUAGAAGCUGCCAUGAGCAAAGAAGAGGAGUGCUACCAGUGCCUGAGGGUCCUUACAUUGGCAAGGAGUUGAUAUUGUAAGAUAUACCAGAUUAUUUGAGCAGUUUUCCCCAUGGCUGAGCAUAAGGCAUUUCUUGAUCUGCAUUUUCUGGGAGGCAAAAGUUUUAACAAAGUUAUAGAAGAUUCUUCAUUGUGACAGGUUAUAAAAUCAGGAGGGAAGAAAUAAAGCUGCACACACUUUCCCAACUUUCCAGGCAGGAUGUCCACUUACUCUCAUCAGAGAGCCGAAUCUGUCCUUCUCUGGGAGUAAUCAGAGCAUUUGCCUAAGGAUAUUCCACCCAUGGUAAAGCACCCAAGAAAUUAUCUGUGGCCUCCAGACAUCUCAAAGAUUUUCAUAUACUACUGGGACUUGGCUAAAAAGUAAGAAUAGAUAUUGCUGCUCCCCUCUACUCCUUCCCAGUAUUAAAGAAGAGAAGCUUUGUAGGGUAUACAUAUCAAAAGCUUUUGCUGCAGAGAAGACCCCAGAGGUCUCCUGCUGAUCCAAACUAGGUUGAAUAUUGUACAUAUUUUCCUUGGAGAGUGAAACUCUCUUCUCUGCCUGA